AUAGAUCUGGCCGAGUGGUUAAGGCGACUGAUUCGAAAUCAGUGUCCAUCUUGGAGCGUAGGUUCGAAUCCUACUAUCUGCG
rfam:Daphnia pulex DAPPTscaffold_114_Cont4829, whole genome shotgun sequence.